UGGCUUUUUUCUUAGUCAAACUUCUUUAAGUUUAACCAAGUUUAUAGAAAUAUAUAGCAACAUUUUCAACAUAAAACAAACCAUCAAAAUAUAUUAAAUUUUAGUUUCAAUAAAACUAGUUUGGUGUUAUAGAUGUUGCUAAAUUUUUCUAUGAAUUUGGUCAAACUUAAAUAAGUUUGACUAAGAAAAAAGUCAA
rfam:Oryza rufipogon genomic scaffold, chr04